UACGUAGGGUGCAAGCGUUGUCCGGAAUUAUUGGGCGUAAAGAGCUCGUAGGCGGCUUGUCGCGUCGGCUGUGAAAACCUGGGGCUCAACUCCGGGCCUGCAGUGGGUACGGGCAGACUAGAGUGCGGUAGGGGAGAUUGGAAUUCCUGGUGUAGCGGUGGAAUGCGCAGAUAUCAGGAGGAACACCGGUGGCGAAGGCGGGUCUCUGGGAAACAACUGACGCUGAGGAACGAAAGCGUGGGUAGCAAACAGG
rnacentral:rRNA from 1 species